GGCGGCAGGCUUAACACAUGCAAGUCGAGCGCUCUCCUUCGGGAGGGAGCGGCGGACGGGUUAGUAACGCGUGGGAACAUACCCUUCUCUAAGGAAUAGCCACUGGAAACGGUGAGUAAUACCUUAUACGCCCUUCGGGGGAAAGAUUUAUCGGAGAGGGAUUGGCCCGCGUUAGAUUAGAUAGUUGGUGGGGUAACGGCCUACCAAGUCUACGAUCUAUAGCUGGUUUUAGAGGAUGAUCAGCAACACUGGGACUGAGACACGGCCCAGACUCCUACGGGAGGCAGCAGUGGGGAAUCUUGGACAAU
rnacentral:rRNA from 1 species